UAGGCUCAGCUCACCGCUACAACCCCUGUGCUGACUCAGGAGCAGCGAAGACGAACCCACGCUGUCCUCCGAAGGGUGUGCCGUCAGCCGACCGCUUCUUUUCACACUGCAGGCCCACCAUGCAGCCGCCUCAGAGCUACAGCGUUGGAGGACAACGCAGCUCUGGGCAGCUUACAGGGAAGUGAUUGAUGGGACUCAUUUACAACGACGGGAGAGUUACUGCUGAUUACGAACCAGUGGCUGCCAAGUCCUAAGCUCAUUAAAUUCAGCUGAAAAUUGAUGAAAAUAGCGGCUGUCCAAAUUGACACAACAUGGGCCCACAUGAAGAUAGUGAUUUACAUAUCACGUUGGUUAAGACCUCUGAAAUGUUACUUAAAAGCUGAAGGUUUCCUCAAAUAGAGCAAUUUUAUAACCAAGCAUUGUACAUCUAUCAGCACACUCAUUCAUUCCAGCUUCAAUUUUAAUGCAAAUAUUCAAAUAUGAGCGAUGUGGACAGUUGGCUCUCUCAACAGCAAAGAAGCCUGGAAAUGUAAUCCCCUUCCCUUUAGCAGCAAUGAGCAGUGAUAUGCUUCAGCAGAUUGAAGGAGAUCAUCCUGCAGCCACCUGAGCCAGCUUCAAACAAAUACAUUGCAACAACAUAUAAAGCUGACAAGACAGGAAUAUGAAUGGGAAGUAAUAUGACAGUUGGGUGGUUUGAUUUUGUGUUGGGUCACACAGUUGUUUUUUAUUGAGUGAUUGAUGGGUU